rnacentral:lncRNA from 12 species
CCCACUAUUUAUUUUUAUUUCUAUUUAUUUAUUUUUGUUAUUAUUAUUUUUUAAGUAGGCUCCCUCCCUCUUCGCCGCCCCCCGCUUGUCCCAGGAUGGAUGAACCCAAUGCUGGGUUUGACUCACAACCCUGAGAUCAAGACCUGAGCUGACAUCAAGAGUCAGACACUCAACAGACUGAGCCACCCAAGUACCCCUGUGCACUAUUCUUAUCCACAUUUAUCUGGAGACUUGGGAGCAGCCAGGAAAGAACUAUCUCUAUUUGUGACACUCAAAGGCACAAGGUUUCCUAAAUAAAUGAACAUGGAAACUCCUUCACCAAGAAAAUUCCAACAUCAGAGAAUUCAUAGGAAAACAAAGGGAAAGGCUUCUACAGGGAUUUAUCCCUACUGCUCUAUGGGAAAGAAAAGUGAUGUGACUCUAUCCAAUGCAAGGACUUCUUCAGAGGACCUAUGUCAGUGUUUGUGUACAUCUUCAUCGAGAAUGUCUUUGUGGCAGUUGCGGACAUUUAACAGGUAAGCCACAGUGAUUCUAAUCACAUCUCUGUAUCUGUAAAGCAAGAUGGACCUUGUCCUAGUCUUUGAAAGUCAAAAGGUCAAACUGUUGAGAAAGGGGAUUUCCUUGAUGGGUUUGAUGUCUAGGUGCUGCUUGUGACAGUUCAGCAUGUCCACUGCUUAGUAAAAAAAUGACUGAGCCUCCAUUCAUUGGUCCUUGAGUGAGUUGACUCGACCUGGAUGCAUGGACAUUUUGUGUCCUUGAUACUCCUGAGCCAUUAGAGCCCAAAAAUGCAAAGAUAAAA